AUUCUCUCUUCUCAGAUUUGCAUGACUGGUGUCUCUGGACAGCCUGAGGCAGAUAUUAAGGAAAGAUCAGCAGUUACAGCGAACGUCCAGGGGUGCACCGAUCACAAGGCCUGCUGUCAGAAGCAUGGAUGAUGGUAGAAAUCAUCAGCGUGCAGCAUGUGCCAGCACCAAAGCUUCCAUCAGAGGCAGUAUCAUCUUCCAGCCUGCUUGAGUCCUCACCAGGUAAGUGCAUUACUUGUCUCUUGGGUCAGGGAAUGAGACAGCUGAGUGAGGCACAAUUAUAUGCAGGGUUUGGAAUAGUUGACAAAGUAAUGUGAGGGCUGCUUCUGGAAGUAUCCUCUGACCAGGCCUUAACCUGGGGUUGCUACUGUCCUCUGGCAUAGUUUUUCAGCUUAGCGUCAGGCAGGAGCAGCUUCUGCAAAUGGGGACAGAUGGAUUGUGCAUGUUCACAGCAAGUCCAGCACCAGAAAGGGAAACACUGUGCUUUCACAGUAGCCCUUGGUGGAGGAGGUCCUUGACAGUUAAAAAGCAGUAGAGCCACUACUGCCUUUUUUAGUGAACAAAUAGUCCAGCACAAACACAUUUUAUUUUAAUUAGCAUUAAAGAUGUCAUGAACCCUGCAUGUGUAUUUCUAAUUUGAAAUGGUGUCAGUCAACAUCGUAGAUUUUGAGAAUGAUCUCAAAAGUUGACCCUCUUUAGUUCUCUUCACAGAGAUAGAUAAAAUACCCAUGGAGGGGAUGGAAGUGAAAAAGAAAUGUGAGCCAGUGAUCACAAAAGUCAACUUAGGCAGUUAUAUGAAUGCAUGUAACAGUAUAUCGCUGUCUAGAAUUUGCAUUUGCAGCUUUUCCCAGCCUUAGAUUAGAAUUUCAACUAUUUUAAAGCAGUCAUUGGUAUGAUAUCAUUUUAAAUCUCUGUUGUCACAGAUUCCAGGUGUUAUAUAUUACAGGUACAGCUUCACAGUUGGUUUUUGGAUACACUUGUUUAUUGCUACUAUAAAAAAAAGCCACCUUUUUUGUGCCUUGAUAACUCAAAGCUUGCAACUGGACUUACGAUAAACAUUACAUGUGCAGUUGUCAUUUCAGAGUAUGCAGCAUGAACGCAUUUUUUGGAGAGAAAAGAUUGAGAUUUAUUUGGCUUUUGAUGGGGUGGGGGAGAGGGCAGAAGGGGUGCCUGUGUAUGCAUGUUAUAUGUUCUGGUUAAUUUUUAAGCAACUAGUUUACAUUAAAAAAAAUCAUGGAGGGGAAGCAAUAAUAUUUAAAGUAAUUCAAACAGUUUGAUAAUUCUAUCUUAUUCUACAACUAGGUUAUUGCUUAUAAAGUCACGGUUGUGAAAUCAAUACAAAUGUUUUAACUGUAAGGUCAGGCUUGUGAUGUAGCUCAUUCUUACUAAUGUUUUCUGAAAAAUGUUUUCUGUUCCUCUGAGUGAAAAAUGCUGCAUAACCCACUGCCACGCUUAAUCUAAAAUAGGUACAGAGAUGCACUUCAGUUUUCUGAAUAUUUUUUUGCAAACCGAAUUUAUGAUAACACCCAUUCCUGUAUUACUUUACUUAAGUCUAAAAAGGGACAUUUAUUUACAGUAGAGAAAAUACGUCAUAUUGGCUUCUUGUAUAAUGUACCAGCAUGACCUGAA
rnacentral:lncRNA from 1 species